rnacentral:rRNA from 1 species
UACGUAGGGUGCAAGCGUUGUCCGGAAUUAUUGGGCGUAAAGAGCUCGUAGGCGGUUUGUCGCGUCUGCUGUGAAAUCCCGAGGCUCAACCUCGGGCCUGCAGUGGGUACGGGCAAACUAGAGUGCGGUAGGGGAGAUUGGAAUUCCUGGUGUAGCGGUGGAAUGCGCAGAUAUCAGGAGGAACACCGAUGGCGAAGGCAGAUCUCUGGGCCGUAACUGACGCUGAGGAGCGAAAGCAUGGGGAGCGAACAGG